GAUGAACGCUGACGGCGUGCCUAAUACAUGCAAGUCGAGCGAACAGACGAGGAGCUUGCUCCUCUGACGUUAGCGGCGGACGGGUGAGUAACACGUGGAUAACCUACCUAUAAGACUGGGAUAACUUCGGGAAACCGGAGCUAAUACCGGAUAAUAUAUUGAACCGCAUGGUUCAAUAGUGAAAGACGGUUUUGCUGUCACUUAUAGAUGGAUCCGCGCCGCAUUAGCUAGUUGGUAAGGUAACGGCUUACCAAGGCAACGAUGCGUAGCCGACCUGAGAGGGUGAUCGGCCACACUGGAACUGAGACACGGUCCAGACUCCUACGGGAGGCAGCAGUAGGGAAUCUUCCGCAAUGGGCGAAAGCCUGACGGAGCAACGCCGCGUGAGUGAUGAAGGUCUUCGGAUCGUAAAACUCUGUUAUUAGGGAAGAACAAAUGUGUAAGUAACUAUGCACGUCUUGACGGUACCUAAUCAGAAAGCCACGGCUAACUACG
rnacentral:rRNA from 1 species